UUGGACGUGGACGUUUGCCGUGGCAAUUGUGCUAACAGAAAAUUUGUUUUGAUUGGUGAACAUUUUUAGAAUCUAAAAUUGCCGAUGGAGUUUCUGAAAAGCGGAUUUAAGACUGUACUGGGCACUGCCGAGCCUGGGCAGCACCCCAGUGCAGCAGAAACUGUUGAAAAAUUGGUUGAUCGUGUAAUUUCUUCGACGUUAUUAGAUGAUCGACGAGAUGCCUGCCGCGCAUUAAAGGCGCUUUCCAGGAAAUAUAGAAUUGAGGUCGGAGCUCAAGGAAUGCCAGCAUUGGUUCAGAUUCUUAAACACGAUUGUCAAGAUUCAGAAAUUAUUAGUUACGCUUUAGAUGCCUUGUGUAAUAUAACAGCAUCUGAAGAGUUCGAUGAAGAAGCUGACAAUCCAGCUGUUUCGGUCAACGUCGGGGAACAGUUUACUGAAAUGUUCAUAAAAGCACCUGAUCAUGUCACCUUAGUUAUGGGUUAUUUAGAAGAAUAUGAUUUCCGGGUUCGUCGUGCCGCAAUUCAACUUAUUACUACUCUAAUUGCCAACAAAACCCGGGACUUGCAAGAAAUAAUUCUGGUAAGCCCAAUGGGUGUGUCCAAGUUAAUGGACUUGCUAACAGAUAGCCGUGAGGUUAUUCGAAACGAUGCCCUGCUGUUACUUAUUCAGUUAACCAAAGGUAACUCAAAUAUUCAAAAAAUUGUUGCUUUUGAGAACGCAUUUGACAAAAUUUUUGAAAUUAUUCAAAGUGAGGGGUGCUCCGAUGGCGGCAUUGUUGUUGAAGACUGCUUAAUACUAUUAUUAAAUUUGCUAAAAAACAAUUCAAGUAAUCAACAGUUUUUCAAAGAAGGCUCUUUUAUUCAGCGGCUUUCUCCAAUGUUUAUCAUAGCUCCGGAAACGGAAGAAAUUGGAUGGUCACCGCAAAAGGUUUCAAAUAUACAUUGCAUGUUGCAAGUAGUACGUGCGUUAGUUACACCAAGUAACCAACAACAAGUUGUGUCCUCCUGUCAGAAGGUGAUGCGAAAAUCAAACCUGCUGGAUGCAUUAUGCAGCAUUCUGAUGGGUAGUGGAGUACCAGCUGAUAUACUCACGGAGACGAUAAACGCUGUUGCUGAAAUUGUUCGCGGUGAGAAAGAAAAUCAAGACCAAUUGAGUAUUGUUGUGGCGCCUAGCAAUCCACCUCGGCCGGCUAUAGUUGUAUUGUUGAUGUCUAUGAUCAACGAAAAACAGAUGCUAGCGUUAAGAUGUGCCGUUUUGUAUUGUUUUCAAUGCUAUUUGUUUCGAAACAUAGACGGACAUCAAACCGUAGUGCAAACGCUAUUGCCAUCUUCUGAAUCUGAAGUUAGUAGUCAUUCAACAGGGCAACUACUAUGUGUUGGGCUAUUUUCAACAGAUCCGUUAGCCAAUUGGUUUUCUGCCGUGGCUCUUAUGCAUGCGCUAGUUGAUAGCGUUGCACAGAAAGAAGAGCUUUUACGCGUUCUUUUGGCCACUCCUGGUGGAGGCAAACCUAUAACACUAAUCGAACAGUGCACAAAUUUACUUCAACAAGAUAGUUAUAAGCUGCAAAGUAAAGUUGGACUUUUAAUGUUGUUGGGCAUGUGGCUGGCACAUUGCCCAAGUGCCGUCAAAAUGUUUCUUGGUACAAACGGAACAAUGGCAUAUUUGACUGCGCAAAUUAGCGCAAAUGAACACGAUGAAAAUGAGUAUCUAAUACAAGGAUUAUGCGCCUUUCUUAUGGGACUUUGUAUUCAAUUUAACAAUAAUACUCUUGCCAACCAAAAACGAGAUGCUAUUUGCCAAUUGGUUAUUAAGCGUAUCGGUCAAGAGACAUUUUGUAACAAGUUAAGUGAAGUAUCACGACAUGAAGCCUAUAGCCGUGCUUGCAAACAGCCUCAAAUUCGAGCAAAAUCGUCCGCUGAUCUAUUGCUAGACUUCGAAUAUUGUAAGUUAUACAAGGGUUUGGAAGCGUUAAUAGGAAAGGUAGUUAGUGGUUUCGACGUCGAUGGUAUCGAAUUGACUGAGCUAACACUUAGCUCUGAAGCCUCGGCCCUAGUAGCAAAAUACAAAAGUAUAAUUCGAGAUCUUGAUGGACAAAUAAAUUCUCUACAGCAAAAUGCAAAACGAAUUGAAAUUAAAAAUGCCGAAAUAGAACAAAAGCUAAUACAAGUGGAAAACCUUAAUACACAAUUAUACGACCAAAAUACAUUGCUUAAAGCUCAAUUGGGAGCUGUCCAAAAUGACCCGUCCUCUACCGGCGAAGCUGCAACAGUUAGCGCACUUAAUUCUGCACAGAUCCAAAAUAAUUUAUAUUGUUCAGAAAACAUUCGUUUAACUCGGGAACUUGAAACUCUGCGUAAGCAAUUGGAACAUGAAACAAAUCGAGCUAACAAUGCUAGUGAUGAUUUGCAAAAACUUCAAAAGGAUCAAGACGACCUUCUUGAACUUCUAACCGAUCAAGAAAUUAAAAUUAACCGGUAUGAACAGCAGCUACGCUUUGCUGGUUUGCCCAUUGAGAAUGAUGAAGACACUGAAAAUAAAUCGGGUUUUAUAAAUGAUGGAGGCACCGCAGACGCCAAUCUUAGUCAAUGCAAUAAAAAUGUUAGAGAUGAAAUUCCUUAAAAAAUUAUCAUAGAUUUAGGCACACAAUUACAAUAUAGAUAAUGGAAUUUUACCGAGAAUUUUAUCCAUACACUAUUAAAAAUAAUUCCAACAAAAUAUGUAAAUAUUUAGUAUUUCAGCAUCAUUAAUAAAUAGAAACAACAAUCACAGAUUUAGAUGGACAAAACCAGAAAGAAUUGAAGAUGAAGAACCAUAGUUAACUGAUAUAAGUUAAAUAAAAACUAAGCAAUUGUUUUUUUUUACAA